rnacentral:rRNA from 1 species
CCUACGGGCGGCAGCAGUGGGGAAUAUUGGGCAAUGGACGCAAGUCUGACCCAGCAACGCCGCGUGAAGGAAGAAGGCUUUCGGGUUGUAAACUUCUUUUAAGGGGGAAGAGCAGAAGACGGUACCCCUUGAAUAAGCCACGGCAAACUACGUGCCAGCAGCCGCGGUAAUACGUAGGUGGCAAGCGUUGUCCGGAUUUACUGGGGGUAAAGGGCGUGCAGCCGGGGAGUCAAGUCAGAUGUGAAAUCCACGGGCUCAACCCGUGAACUGCAUUUGAAACUGUGUCCCUUGAGUGUCGGAGAGGUGAUCGGAAUUCCUUGUGUAGCGGUGAAAUGCGUAGAUAUAAGGAAGAACACCAGUGGCGAAGGCGAAUUACUGGACGAUAACUGACGGUGAGGCGCGAAAGCGUGGGGAGCAAACAGGAUUAGAUACCCCAGUAGUC